UUGUUAUUAGGGGUUCCUUCGUCUUCCUUGUGCAAGCUGGAGCGUGUAAUCUCCUCAAACUUUAUUCUGUAUAGGGGCUUCAGUUAUCGCCUAGAAUUUAUGUAUUUUUCACCACUCCUCCCACUUUCUCGCUUUUAAUCGACAUUACCAUCUCUAAGGUAACCGAAUUGAGCUGCUCAUACUAAUCUGUUCGUCGCCUGCGAUGUACAUUCCCACCAUUACAAAAUCUCUCUAUCAAGCAUUAACUACAUCUAUGGCGAAUUCGUUUACCCUUCUUGCCGAUUUGAAAGUUGGAUGCUGUUCAAACAUGGCUGAGGUACUUUUGCUCAGGUUCUAGGAGGCAAGGAAUGUAAAGAAAGGUGGCCAAUUCAUGGGUGUCGACUUCUACCUGACAUUGUUGGUGACUUUAGUGCAAUAAGGAGCACAAUCAACGACGGGACAAACAGAACACAGCGUGUAAUGCUUACUCUCUGUCUGGAAAGGUACUUUUUACAGUGGCAACUCCAGCGAUUCUGAAUGUGUGUUACUCUGUUCGACGGCUUAGCUUUCGGGUUUCAUAGCAAAUUGGACAUCUACGGCUGUGAGCCAAAAGUUGUGGUGGUUACUAGCAUCAAUCCUAAACUUGUAUGAGCUGAGAAAACUGAAUAUUUGGUGGGACUUAUUUCCCAACGGGACAUCUGCAACCCAUCUUUACUUUGACUCUAAGACAGCUGCGAGAAAAGAAAACUAUAAACAUAAGUAACUCCAAUUCUAAUAUUAGAUUUCAUAGUAUUUAGUUCAUUAAAUAUUUUACCAUAUGAUUCGGGUCACGUUUCCUGUGCUACCACAUUAAACCUUUUUAGAUUGAUUGGGGAUGGCUCAGACCAGACACCCUCUUCAUCAAAGCUGCUUCAUGCCCAGAAAAUAGAACCACUCACUAUCUCUGAGCUUAUUAGCUUAACCAAUAUUUUAUCACAUCUGAGCCUCAGAUCAUUGAGUUUCUUUGUACUGCCAAAUUCACUGGUAUUCAGACAGAUAAAGGAUGGUGUUAUAUUGGUUGCUCGAAAUGUUCACAGAAGCUUCAGCGAGAUAUUUCUUCUUUCACUUGCAUCCUCUCUGAUAAACCAGACACUGUGGGUGUCCUCAGUGUCUCUACCCUGUCUACCUGUAUCGUGUGGAACUGUCGUAUCAUACCAGAUGAAUGAAACUGUUUUUGUGGCCUUUGAUAUGGAAAAUAGCAAAGUUAACAAGCAUUCAAGUAGCUAAAGCUGCGCAGAUUUUGUUUAUCUUUGAUAUUAUGGGAAAAACCUACACUUUCCGGUUCAAGUUAGGAGAGUUUAGUUACACAUCUAAAAACCUUCACUAUAUCAUGUAUCAAUACUGACCAACAACGUGCACCACUCCCAAGCUUUGUUCUGCAUGGAGAUGCCCAGAUUCAUGUUGAUGAUAUGCCUGGAGAGAAUCCAGUAGCAUCAAAUGGCCCUGAUGGUGCUGAUAACAUUGUUGCAGAGCUAGCAAGUGGUGUGGUAGCAGAAGGGUGAGAGAAUACAAGUGCCAACCAUCAGCCAUCCUCAUCUGUUCUUCCAGAAAUAGUUCGCUCUGCAUCAAUCAACUAGUCCGAUGCUUGACCCUAAUGAGAAUGAACAAAAGAACGCCAGCAUAGCCCCACUUGCCAAACCAAAAUCCCCACUUCAUUUGCUUCUCCAAUAAUAUUUAAGCAAAACACUCUAUUUUAUGUUAACAUCAAUAUGUUUGUGGCUGUUUGAACUAUUACUGCAAGUUUUAUUUAUAACAUUUUUAAUCUAUAAUUUAUAAAAAAAGAAUAUUUUCAAA